UUCUGAGUAUUCUUGCUCACGGUGCCUAGAGAGAUAUCAGCUAUGCCUCACUGACGAUGCCUAACAAGGCUGAAACGAUCGUCUGGGGUUGCUGUAUCUCUCGUGCAGAGAGAACUUGCUGGCAUUUCGGAUCUGGACUGCUCGUAUGGGUGGGACCAGUCUGAUAUGCUUCAGAUAUGUUCUCUCUGUAAUGGCACAAGUUGAGCUAAA